GUGGGGAAUAUUGCGCAAUGGGGGAAACCCUGACGCAGCAACGCCGCGUGAGCGAAGAAGGUUUUCGGAUUGUAAAGCUCUGUCUUUAGGGACGAUAAUGACGGUACCUAAGGAGGAAGCCCCGGCUAACUACGUGCCAGCAGCCGCGGUAAUACGUAGGGGGCAAGCGUUGUCUGGAUUCACUGGGCGUAAAGAGCACGUAGGCGGUUAAUUAAGUCAGGUGUGAAAGUUUUCGGCUCAACCGGAAAAGUGCACUUGAAACUGGAUAACUUGAGUAUCGGAGAGGUAAGCGGAAUUCCUAGUGUAGCGGUGAAAUGCGUAGAGAUUAGGAAGAACACCGGUGGCGAAGGCGGCUUACUGGACGAUAACUGACGCUGAGGUGCGAAAGCGUGGGGAGCGAACAGGAUUAGAAACCCGAGUAGUCC
rnacentral:rRNA from 1 species